AGUACGGGUUUUAGGGGAGGUGCUACUGUAUCUCUUCUAGACAGUGAGGGUUUGCUGUCUGACGGUCUGUGCAGCAGAUGAACUCAUCCACUGCAGAAGGAUGCUCAGCUUUUUACUCUUUUUCUGUACUCUUGCAUAUGUUAGUUUUGGGAAUGUCAUCACACCAGUCCAACCUGAGGUGUUUGGGACCGAGGAGGACAAGAUAACUCUGUCCUGUAACUACUCUUCAGCAGUUAGUCUGCACUGGUAUCGCCAAUAUCCCUAUUCGGCUCCUGAAUUUCUUUUGCUACUGCUACAUGGGACAGGGAAAGUUUCAAAGAGGUCCAAAAUUGUCGAACAAGAUCCUCGAUUCUCUGGAAAAGUGAAUGAAAAGAAAACCCGUGUGGAUCUGGAGAUCUCCUCCGUUACAGUGACAGACUCUGCAGUGUAUUACUGUGCCCUGGAGCCCACAGUGACAGGAAACAUGACAACUCUGUACAAAAACCUGACUUAUGUUAAUCAUCCAGCAACAUUUGUCAUGUUUUGAUAUAUCUUUUAAGGCGGUUUUCUGUAGAACUUUUAGAAUUGUAUCUGAUGAUAAAUUUUGUUUAUAACU